rnacentral:snoRNA from 1 species
CUGGGAAAGACAGUGAUGUUUUAUUUCCAAGCACAUAUCUGAGUUGUAUGUGUGGACAGCUCUAAAACUGAGUCUUUCCCAA